GGCGUCGUGACCGAGUGGCUAGGUAGAGGUCUGCAAAACCUUUUACGGCGGUUCGAAUCCGCUCGACGCCUCCA
rnacentral:tRNA from 2 species